AUUGAACGCUGGCGGCAUGCCUUACACAUGCAAGUCGAACGGCAGCAUGGAGAGCUUGCUCUCUGAUGGCGAGUGGCGAACGGGUGAGUAAUGCAUCGGAACGUACCGUGUAAUGGGGGAUAACGUAGCGAAAGUUACGCUAAUACCGCAUACGACCUGAGGGUGAAGGCAGGGGAUCGAAAGACCUUGCGUUAUACGAGCGGCCGAUGUCAGAUUAGCUAGUUGGUGAGGUAAAGGCUCACCAAGGCGCCGAUCUGUAGCGGGUCUGAGAGUAUGAUCCGCCACACUGGGACUGGGACACGGCCCGGACUCCUACGGGAGGCGGCAGUGGGGAAUUUUGGACAAGGGGGGCAACCCUGAUCAAGCCAUGCCGCGUGAGUGAAGAAGGCCUUCGGGUUGUAAAGCUCUUUCGGCCGGGAAGAAAUCGCACAGGCUAAUACUCUGUGUGGAUGACGGUACCGGCAUAAGAAGCACCGGCUAACUACAUGCCAGCCGCCGCGGUAG
rnacentral:rRNA from 1 species